rnacentral:rRNA from 1 species
UCGGGGGGCGUCCUAUAAUGCAGUCGAGCGGAAGAUGGGAGCUUGCUCCCUGAUGUUAGCGGCGGACGGGUGAGUAACACGUGGGUAACCUGCCUGUAAGACUGGGAUAACUCCGGGAAACCGGGGCUAAUACCGGAUGCUUGUUUGAACCGCAUGGUUCAAACAUAAAAGGUGGCUUCGGCUACCACUUACAGAUGGACCCGCGGCGCAUUAGCUAGUUGGUGAGGUAAUGGCUCACCAAGGCAACGAUGCGUAGCCGACCUGAGAGGGUGAUCGGCCACACUGGGACUGAGACACGGCCCAGACUCCUACGGGAGGCAGCAGUAGGGAAUCUUCCGCAAUGGACGAAAGUCUGACGGAGCAACGCCGCGUGAGUGAUGAAGGUUUUCGGAUCGUAAAGCUCUGUUGUUAGGGAAGAACAAGUACCGUUCGAAUAGGGCGGUACCUUGACGGUACCUAACCAGAAAGCCACGGCUAACUACGUGCCAGCAGCCGCGGUAAUACGUAGGUGGCAAGCGUUGUCCGGAAUUAUUGGGCGUAAAGGGCUCGCAGGCGGUUUCUUAAGUCUGAUGUGAAAGCCCCCGGCUCAACCGGGGAGGGUCAUUGGAAACUGGGGAACUUGAGUGCAGAAGAGGAGAGUGGAAUUCCACGUGUAGCGGUGAAAUGCGUAGAGAUGUGGAGGAACACCAGUGGCGAAGGCGACUCUCUGGUCUGUAACUGACGCUGAGGAGCGAAAGCGUGGGGAGCGAACAGGAUUAGAUACCCUGGUAGUCCACGCCGUAAACGAUGAGUGCUAAGUGUUAAGGGGGUUUCCGCCCCUUUAGUGCUGCAGCUAAACGCAUUAAGCACUCCGCCUGGGGGAGUAACGGUCGCAAGACUGAAACUCAAGGGAAUUUGACGGGGACCGCCACAAGCGGUGGGAGCAUGGUGGGUUUAUUUCGAAGCAACGCGUAAGAAUCCUUACUACGGUCUUGGACAUCCUUCUGACAAUCUAGAGAUAGGACGUUCCCCUUUCGGGGGGCAAAAGUGGACAGCGUGGUGCAAUGGUUGUUCGUCUCAGCUCUCUGUCGUGGAAUGUUGGGGUUAGUUCCUCCGCACCACGCCAAACCCUUGAUUCUUUACAUUGCCACAAUCCAGGUUGGCCACUCUAGGUGACUGCUCGGUGCACAAACCGUACGCUACAGAUGUGUGCGA